UUGAAGCGUGGACGCCAGUCUGCGUGGAGCCAACCUUGAAAUACCACCCUUUAAUGUUUGAUGUUCUAACGUAGGCCCCUGACCGGGGUUGCGGACAGUGUCUGGUGGGUAGUUUGACUGGGGCGGUCUCCUCCCAAAGAGUAACGGAGGAGCACGAAGGUUAGCUAAUCCUGGUCGGACAUCAGGAGGUUAGUGCAAUGGCAUAAGCUAGC
rnacentral:rRNA from 1 species